GACGAACGCUGGCGGCGUGCCUAAUACAUGCAAGUUGAGCGCUGAAGGUUGGUACUUGUACCAACUGGAUGAGCAGCGCACGGGUGAGUAACGCGUGGGGAAUCUGCCUUUGAGCGGGGGACAACAUUUGGAAACGAAUGCUAAUACCGCAUAAAAACUUUAAACACAAGUUUUAAGUUUGAAAGAUGCAAUUGCAUCACUCAAAGAUGAUCCCGCGUUGUAUUAGCUAGUUGGUGAGGUAAAGGCUCACCAAGGCGAUGAUACAUAGCCGACCUGAGAGGGUGAUCGGCCACAUUGGGACUGAGACACGGCCCAAACUCCUACGGGAGGCAGCAGUAGGGAAUCUUCGGCAAUGGACGAAAGUCUGACCGAGCAACGCCGCGUGAGUGAAGAAGGUUGUCGGAUCGUAAAACUCUGUUGGUAGAGAAGAACGUUGGUGAGAGUGGAAAGCUCAUCAAGUGACGGUAACUACCCAGAAAGGGACGGCUAACUACGUG
rnacentral:rRNA from 1 species